UACGGGGGAGCAAGCGUUGUUCGGAUUUACUGGGCGUAAAGGGCGCGUAGGCGGUCAGCACAAGUCAAUUGUGAAAUCUCCGGGCUUAACUCGGAAAGGUCAACUGAUACUGCGGGGCUAGAGUGCGGAAGGGGCAACUGGAAUUCUCGGUGUAGCGGUGAAAUGCGUAGAUAUCGAGAGGAACACCUGCGGCGAAGGCGGGUUGCUGGGCCGACACUGACGCUGGAUGCGCGAAAGCCAGGGGAGCGAACGGG
rnacentral:rRNA from 1 species